rnacentral:rRNA from 1 species
GAUGAACGCUGGCGGCGUGCCUAAUACAUGCAAGUCGAGCGAACAGACGAGGAGCUUGCUCCUCUGACGUUAGCGGCGGACGGGUGAGUAACACGUGGAUAACCUACCUAUAAGACUGGGAUAACUUCGGGAAACCGGAGCUAAUACCGGAUAAUAUAUUGAACCGCAUGGUUCAAUAGUGAAAGACGGUUUUGCUGUCACUUAUAGAUGGAUCCGCGCCGCAUUAGCUAGUUGGUAAGGUAACGGCUUACCAAGGCAACGAUGCGUAGCCGACCUGAGAGGGUGAUCGGCCACACGUGAACUGGGACACGGUCCAGACUCCUACGGGAGGCAGCAGUAGGGAAUCUUCCGCACUGGGCGAAAGCCUGACGGAGCAACGCCGCGUGAGUGAUGAAGGUCUUCGGAUCGUAAAACUCUGUUAUUAGGGAAGAACAAAUGUGUAAGUAACUAUGCACGUCUUGACGGUACCUAAUCAGAAAGCCACGGCUAACUACGUG